UGGCACGCCGAGGGCUGGACCGUGCCCAGGCUCCCGGUGAGGAGUAAGAAGCCUCCUGUGCUGCUUUGAGACGACUGAGAAAGCUGCAUGUGCUCCAGCCCAGCUCCUGCCUGCCUCCCUUGCAGAGUGGGAGGUGACUCACGAAAAAAUGAGAUGCAGCCAAGGCUGGAGAGAGCUCACAUACAGCUAACUGAAAUCUUGCGGGGGGGGGGGGGGGGGGUACGCAUAGCUCUUGGGGAAGAAAAGGAUGCCGCUCCUUACAAUCUCUCAGCCCUGAGAAAACAGCACGGGGGUAAGCCAAGGAUAGCUCAGGAGAAGGCGGGAGGGGGGCGAGAGACUCUGGUGGGGAGAGGAAACGAGCAAAAGGAGUUUUCUUAGCACCAGUGAUUCAUCUCAGAACAUGAAUCCCAACCCUUAAGAUGUUGCCGCAGUUCUUAGCUUGACUGCUGGAGUCUGGGUGGCUGCCUGUUUUAUUUCUGGCUUCCCCUACUCUUGGUUUUGUGUGUGUGAUUUUUUUUUUUUCCUGUUCCUCCAGUACACUGUCCUGACUGCAUCGUUGUCACCUUUUGUUGUUGCUCCAGCCCCAUCAUCCUCUCUGUCUUGAGUUGCUUUAUGGGCGCUGUGUCUCUUGCUGCCUGAAGCUCGAGCUGUUUUGUCUUCAUGCUGCCACAUAAACCUAUCUCCACCUGUGGUUCUGACCCCAUUUCUUCCUCCUUCCAGGCUUGCUCUGGUUAUUUGUUCCACUCCUCUUGGCUUUGGGUGGCUUCCUUCUCUUGUUGUGCAUUACUGAUUUCAUGAUUCUAAUGCUGUUAGCAGUCACUUCUACGUUCUUGGCUGCUGAGCCUCUGUUCCCUUAAAAUUCAUCCCCUUAAUAUUUUCUCUGCUUUCCCCAUCUUUCUUUUCUAGGAUUUCUUCUGUCCCAGCUAUGAUUCAGCCCUGGCACAUCCAUGUCCUGUGUGGACUUUGCUUCUCCCACCAUUUCUUUACAUUUCUGUGUCUGCAGAGGCCUGUUCCUGAGAGUGUACCAUCUGCUCUUAAGUGCCAUGUAAAUCCAUUUUCAGUGUGCUGCAAUUAGGCAUUGGAUACAGAUAGGAAAAAAUACUCCUUUUUUCUUGAAAUAAAUUCAUCCAUCGUAUUUCCAUCCAGUCUGUUUUGCCUGAAUAUCUGUUUCUGUGCUCUUUUAUAUGUUAGUGGAGAGAUUUCAGGGUUCAGCUUGAUUUCUAUCCCUAUAAUUUUCUUCACAGCACAGCUGACCUCGUUACAGAGGGAUGCCCUGUGUACAGACUCUUUUUCCCUUCCUAUUUGUGCCUCCCCUUUUCAGUAGGGUGUCAGCCUUGGAAUAUACAGCUAUUGCUGUCAUGGCAAAAGAAUAUUAGGGGAACGUUGUUAAUAAGCAUCUGGUUGUUGCAUAGCAUAGAUGGUAACGAGGAAGAGGAGACUGCACAUGCUGCUCGUCAGCUUUCUGUGAACCCCUGCAAAGAACAUGACAGACCUGCAGGGUUUUUUUUUGCCAUGGGCAAAAGUCGUGGGUAAUAGAAAAUUACUUGUGUUGAUUCCCAGAAUUUUAAUGAAUUUAUCUUCUCUAUCUCAAACUACACACCUAGGAAAAGAUGGGAGUUGGAGAGUUUUUGUGCAAGCGCGUGUGAAGGUGUGGGAGAGCUGCUGUAGGAGCUCCUUAACAUGAAAGCUGUUUAACGUGCAGCUGUGCCAACACAGAAAGAACAAUCCUAAUGGACUGAUAUGCAAAUGAGGGGUGGUGAAAAGAGGAGGAAGACCAAAUUUGCCCACUGGAUUAACUCUUAAACAUCAGUGAAGCUCUGAAGUUGUUGCAAAUCACAUGAUAUUUACGAGGUAUGUUUGUAAACUCCUGCCUAGGAGCAAAGAAAAAUGUUAUAUCCUAGUUACAGUUGAACACAAGGGCUGAAAAUACAUAAAUAUAGCGCAUACAGGUAUGAAGCGCAGUUUUUGGAUCUGGAGUGAAAGCCGUGUACAAGCUUUUCUUGCCAAAUUGUCUGCGCUGCCAAUGUCAAAUAUAGCGUGUAUGAUGUGAUUAAUUUUAGUCUGAGCAUAUGUUCUUCUGUAUUCUGGGAUUCCAGAUGCAGCUUUGAUAACGCAGGUCACUAGUCCUCAGCGGAAAACCUGGAAAUGAGCUGGAAUGUACCAACUUUAAUGAAUUUGGUGGCAGCACUCUGUGGUGGGAAUUAUUAGUUACUUGUUUGUGGAAUUUCAGCUCUGGUCCUAAUCUGCGAUGUGUAAACUUCCAAGAAAAUAAGCUGUAAAGACAUUAAACAUCGUAAGGAGUUUUGGUUAAAUAGAUUGAGUUAAAGUUCAGUUAAAUAGAUUUCCAAAAGCAAGUCCUGCGAAGAUGAAAAUUAGUAGUGUCUGCAAAUAUCCCGCUGUCUGGAAGUGCCUGAUGGAGCCAAAUUAAUAACUUGUCAAGAGCUUCCAUUUGAAAUGCUCCUGCAGCAGGCUUUUAAUAGAAUCUAGAGAGGCAGGGAAACAGGGAUCCUUUGUAAAAAGGGCUUUCCUUCAAGCAAGAACACUUAUAACCUUGCUUCUCCAUUCUUAAAGGGACAAUUAAUACUGGGUUUUCUGAUGCUGCUUAGGGAGAGCUCCGCAGCCUUGUUCACCGCAGUAGGAAGGGCGCUUGUAAUUUCAUUGUCAGCGUGUGCAAGUGUUAUUCUAGCAGCAGUUAUGUGUGCCUGGACAUUUCCAC